rnacentral:rRNA from 1 species
GAGUUUGAUCCUGGCUCAGGAUGAACGCUGGCGGCGUGCUUAACACAUGCAAGUCGAACGAUGAUCCGGUGCUUGCACCGGGGAUUAGUGGCGAACGGGUGAGUAACACGUGAGUAACCUGCCCUUAACUCUGGGAUAAGCCUGGGAAACUGGGUCUAAUACCGGAUAUGACUGAUCAUCGCAUGGUGGUUGGUGGAAAGCUUUUUGUGGUUUUGGAUGGACUCGCGGCCUAUCAGCUUGUUGGUGAGGUAAUGGCUUACCAAGGCGACGACGGGUAGCCGGCCUGAGAGGGUGACCGGCCACACUGGGGCUGAGACACGGCCCAGACUCCUACGGGAGGCAGCAGUGGGGAAUAUUGCACAAUGGGCGCAAGCCUGAUGCAGCGACGCCGCGUGAGGGAUGACGGCCUUCGGGUUGUAAACCUCUUUCAGUAGGGAAGAAGCGAAAGUGACGGUACCUGCAGAAGAAGCGCCGGCUAACUACGUGCCAGCAGCCGCGGUAAUACGUAGGGCGCAAGCGUUAUCCGGAAUUAUUGGGCGUAAAGAGCUCGUAGGCGGUUUGUCGCGUCUGCCGUGAAAGUCCGGGGCUCAACUCCGGAUCUGCGGUGGGUACGGGCAGACUAGAGUGAUGUAGGGGAGACUGGAAUUCCUGGUGUAGCGGUGAAAUGCGCAGAUAUCAGGAGGAACACCGAUGGCGAAGGCAGGUCUCUGGGCAUUAACUGACGCUGAGGAGCGAAAGCAUGGGGAGCGAACAGGAUUAGAUACCCUGGUAGUCCAUGCCGUAAACGUUGGGCACUAGGUGUGGGGGACAUUCCACGUUUUCCGCGCCGUAGCUAACGCAUUAAGUGCCCCGCCUGGGGAGUACGGCCGCAAGGCUAAAACUCAAAGGAAUUGACGGGGGCCCGCACAAGCGGCGGAGCAUGCGGAUUAAUUCGAUGCAACGCGAAGAACCUUACCUACUCUUGACAUCCUGCGAACUUGUGAGAGAUCACUUGGUGCCUUCGGGAACGCAGAGACAGGUGCUGCAUGGCUGUCGUCAGCUCGUGUUGUGAAAUGUUGGGUUAAGUCCCGUAACGAGCGCAACCCUUGUCCUUAUUUGCCAGCGCGUAAUGGCGGGAACUCUAAGGAGACUGCCGGUGACAAACCGGAGGAAGGUGGGGACGACGUCAAGUCAUCAUGGCCCUUACGAGUAGGGCUACACACGUGCUACAAUGGUCGGUACAAAGGGUUGCCAACUCGCGAGAGUGAGCCAAUCCCGAAAAGCCGAUCUCAGUCCGGAUCGGAGUCUGCAACUCGACUCCGUGAAGUCGGAAUCGCUAGUAAUCGUGGAUCAGAAUGCCACGGUGAAUACGUUCCCGGGCCUUGUACACACCGCCCGUCACACCAUGGGAGUGGACUGCACCAGAAGUGGUUAGCCUAACGCAAGAGGGCGAUCACCACGGUGUGGUUCAUGACUGGGGUGAAGUCGUAACAAGGUAGCCGUAGGGGAACCUGCGGCUGGAUCACCUCCUUUCU